rnacentral:rRNA from 1 species
CACGAAGUUAGCCGGGGCUUCUUCUACGGCUACCGUCAUUAUCUUCACCGUUGAAAGAGCUUUACAACCCUAGGGCCUUCAUCACUCACGCGGCAUGGCUGGAUCAGGCUUGCGCCCAUUGUCCAAUAUUCCCCACUGCUGCCUCCCGUAGGAGUUUGGGCCGUGUCUCAGUCCCAAUGUGGCUGAUCAUCCUCUCAGACCAGCUAUGGAUCGUCGCCUUGGUAGGCCUUUACCCCACCAACUAGCUAAUCCAACGCGGGCUCAUCCAUCCCCGAUAAAUCUUUCCCCAAAAGGGCGUAUACGGUAUUAGCUCCAGUUUCCCGGAGUUGUUCCGUAGGGAUGGGUAGAUUCCCACGCGUUACUCACCCGUCUGCCGCUGACCCCGAAGGGCCCGCUCGACUUGCAUGUGUUAAGCCUGCCGCCAGCGUUCGUUCUGAGCCAGGAUCAAACUCU